UACAGAGGUCUCAAGCGUUGUUCGGAUUCAUUGGGCGUAAAGGGUGCGUAGGCGGCGCGGUAAGUCGGGUGUGAAAUCUCGGAGCUUAACUCCGAAACUGCAUUCGAUACUGCCUGUCGCUUGAGGACUGGAGAGGAGACUGGAAUUUACGGUGUAGCGGUGAAAUGCGUAGAUAUCGUAAGGAAGACCAGUGGCGAAGGCGGGUCUCUGGACAGUUCCUGACGCUGAGGCACGAAGGCCAGGGGAGCAAACGGG
rnacentral:rRNA from 1 species